rnacentral:rRNA from 1 species
AGAAUCUUUCUCAAUGGGCGAAAGCCUGAAGGAGCGACGCCGCGUGGGGGAUGAAGGGCUUCGGUCCGUAAACCCCUGUCAUUCGCGAACAAACCCGUUCACCCAAUACGUGGAUGGCGGCUUGUCGCGCAAGAGGAAGGGACGGCGAACUCUGUGCCAGCAGCCGCGGUAAUACAGAGGUCCCAAGCGUUGUCCGGAUUCACUAGGCGUAAAGGUUGCGUAGGUGGCCGGAUAAGUCUGAUGUGAAAGCUCCGAGCUCAACUCGGAAAUGGAAUUGGAUACUAUCCGGCUCGAGGAUCGGAGGGGAGACUGGAAUUCUCGGUGUAGCAGUGAAAUGCGUAGAUAUCGAGAGGAACACCAGUGGCGAAGGCGAGUCUCUGGACGAUUCCUGACACUGAGGCACGAAAGCUAGGGGAGCAAAC